GAUGAACGCUGGCGGCGUGCCUAAUACAUGCAAGUCGAACGAAACUUCUUUAUCACCGAGUGCUUGCACUCACCGAUAAAGAGUUGAGUGGCGAACGGGUGAGUAACACGUGGGCAACCUGCCCAAAAGAGGGGGAUAACACUUGGAAACAGGUGCUAAUACCGCAUAACCAUAGUUACCGCAUGGUAACUAUGUAAAAGGUGGCUAUACUACCGCUUUUGGAUGGGCCCGCGGCGCAUUAGCUAGUUGGUAGGGUAAAGGCUUACCAAGGCAAUGAUGCGUACCCGAAUGGGGGGGUGGAUCGGCCCAAUGGGGACUGAGAAACGGCCCAAACUCCUACGGGGGGCAGCAGUAGGGAAUCUUCCACAAUGGGCGAAAGCCUGAUGGAGCAACGCCGGGGGGGUGAAGAAGGUCUUCGGAUCGUAAAACCCUGUUGUUAGAGAAGAAAGGGGGUGAGAGUAACGGUUCACGUUUCGACGGUAUCUAACCAGAAAGCCCCGGCUAACUACGU
rnacentral:rRNA from 1 species